CGUGAACCGUUAUAACUAUGUUCUGUGCUUCGUCGCAAGACUUGAGGCUGAACGAAGGUGAGUCUGCGUCUAUUUUGGAUGCGGAUUUGCUGAUGUUAUUUUAAACACCUAUUACUUAAUACUGAACUAUACUCCGAAUACGAAAGUUUUUGGUUUUAACAAUUAACAACUUUCAGCAGUGGAUGUCUAGGCUCGCACAUCGAUGAAGAACGCUGCGAACUGCGAUACGUAAUGCGAAUUGCAGAAUUCAGUGAGUCAUCGAAAUUUUGAACGCAUAUUGCACUUUCGGGUUAUGCCUGGAAGUAUGCCUGUAUCAGUGUCCGUACAUCAAACUUGCCUUUCUUUUUUUGUGUAGUCAAAAUUAGAGAUGGCAGAAUGUGAGGUGUCUCGCGCUGUCUUUUUAAAGAUGGUUCGAGUCCCUUUAAAUGUACGUUGAUUCUUUCUUGUGUCUGCGAAUUGCGAUGCUAUGCUCUUUGUGAUCGGUUUAGAUUGCUUUGCGCUGGUGGGCGACUUCGGUUAGGACAUAUGGAAGCAACCUCAAUUGGCGGUAUGUUCGGCUUUGCCUGACGUUAAGCUAAGCGAGUGUGGUUUUCUGUCUUUUCCUUGAGGUGUACCUGUCGUGUGUGAGGUUGAUUUAGGCUAUAUGGUUGCUUGGUUGUGUGGUUUAGCGUUUUCAGACGCCUGCUUCGGUAGGUAAAGGAGACAACACCAAUUUGGGACUGAGAGUUUACUCUCUUUUUCACUUUGGACCUGAUAUCAGGUAAGACUACCCGCUGAACUUAAGCAUAUUAUAG
rnacentral:rRNA from 1 species